GCCAAUCUCCUGAAUGACUCCUGCUGUCUUCAUAUCUAAUGUUUAUGCUCUAACGUGCAUUUAGACAAAAGGGUAAGGACAGAGCCUCUUAGAAGACAGUUCCAGCCAAGGCCCAGGAUUUGAAAACCGCAGGAGGGUGGAGGAAAUUGAGGCAGCAAAGACAGAGACAAGUGACAAUGGGAUGAAAUCUCAAAGUGGCACAAGGAGCAUUCCACUCGAAUUAUGUAAGGAACUCUUUGCUGGUGUUGGAACAUUUUCAAACAUUCCGCAGAGAAAGAACCAAAGACAAAAUGAACGCAGAACAACGAUCCAUGGGUGGAAGUUACAGGGAGUGAAUUUCAGCUCACUAGAAGGAAAAGCUUUCAAAGUAAAAGCUGACAAUAGAAUGGCUGUUCUCAUGAAGCAGUGGGCUCCUUCACAUCUGAUAUAUUCCAGCAGUCUUAUUGAAAUAUUUAUUCAAGGACUAACAGAACCAUUCGCUUGUAUUUUCUCAACAACAUUGUGACCCAGUAGAAGUGAAGGAUUGUGGGAGGAGCUCAAAGUCCUUCCAGGUCACAGAUACUACAUGAAAGGGUCCCCGGAAUCCAAGGGAGUCUUUUCUCCUUCAGAAGAAGCAAUGGAAAGGGGUGGCUCCUUGAUAUAAAAGACAUCUCACCCAGAGGCCAGAAUUUCCGAAGACUGACUCCAAAUCGCAGGAGCCAUCACCGUUCAAAGGGCGUUCACUGUUUUCCACAUUUUCAUUACUAAAAAUGUCAAAAGUGCAGAAUCAUUGAAAGACUAGUGCAAUGAAUAUCAAGGAACUCCCUCUACCGAAUUCAACCAUUGAUUACUUUUUGCUAUAUUUGCUUUAUCUUUCCGCAUAUUCAUAUAAAUCUUUUGGUAUAGAAAAUUAAGUCACAGACAUCAUGACACUUCUCUCCUAAAUAUUUCAACAAGCAUCUUCUAACAAUAAGAACACCGUCCUACAUAACCAUAAGGAAACUGCUGAAAUUCCUCAGUAUGACCUAGCAUCCACUCCAUGUUGAAAUUGCCCUGGUUAUCCCCAAAAUAUCUUUCUCAGUUGUUCAUUUUUUCUCAAGCCCAGAUCUCACCAAGUUUCUCUCAUUAUAUCUGCUUAUAGCGGCUCUUUACUCUAUUUAAAUAUGGCCCAGUUGCCUCAUUUUCUUGUGUGACACUGAUA
rnacentral:lncRNA from 1 species